UAGGGAAUCUUCCGCAAUGGGCGAAAACCUGACGGAGCAACGCCGCGUGAGUGAUGAAGGUCUUCGGAUCGUAAAACUCUGUUAUUAGGGAAGAACAAAUGUGUAAGUAACUAUGCACGUCUUGACGGUACCUAAUCAGAAAGCCACGGCUAACUACGUGCCAGCAGCCGCGGUAAUACGUAGGUGGCAAGCGUUAUCCGGAAUUAUUGGGCGUAAAGCGCGCGUAGGCGGUUUUUUAAGUCUGAUGUGAAAGCCCACGGCUCAACCGUGGAGGGUCAUUGGAAACUGGAAAACUUGAGUGCAGAAGAGGAAAGUGGAAUUCCAUGUGUAGCGGUGAAAUGCGCAGAGAUAUGGAGGAACACCAGUGGCGAAGGCGACUUUCUGGUCUGUAACUGACGCUGAUGUGCGAAAGCGUGGGGAUCAAACAGG
rnacentral:rRNA from 1 species